rnacentral:lncRNA from 1 species
UUAUGGGGACCCUUUCCCCCAUUUUCCCUGGAGCUCUCUCGGGGCGGGGCGUUCCUUGCCCCUAAUUGAUGGUUGUGUCAUUGCUUUUUGUCUCACCUCUGCACACAGCAGUAGCCACCCCCACAGAGGCAGAAGACAGGUAUGGCUGCCAUGCUCAGCUGGCCACUGGGGAAGCCAGCCAAGUGUGUCUUUCUUGGCUUGUCUGCUAGGUCCUAUUUUGUUGGCUCAGCACAGCCUAACUAUCCAGAAUGGGAGUUUGGCUGACCCUGAAGGUCUUCCUACCUUAAUGUGUCCCACAGGUGGGUAGUAUGGAGUCUGGAGCCUCUACCUGCCUCCCCGGACAGGGCUUGCGUUACCUGGAACACCUGUGCCUUGUGCUGGAGCA